rnacentral:misc_RNA from 1 species
GAUGAAGAACGUAGCGAAAUGCGAUAAGUAAUGUGAAUUGCAGAAUUCAGUGAAUCAUCGAAUCUUUGAACGCACAUUGCGCCCGCUAGUAUUCUGGCGGGCAUGCCUGUUCGAGCGUCAUUUCAACCAUCAAGCCCCAGGCUUGUGUUGGGGUCCUGCGGCUGCCGCAGGCCCCUAAAAGCAGUGGCGGGCUCGCUAUCACACCGAGUGCAGUAGAUUACUCUUCGCUCAGGGCGUGUGGCGGGUUCCAGCCGUGAAACCCCCUACUUCUCAAGGUUGACCUCGGAUCAGGUAGGAAUACCCGCUGAACUUAAGCAUAUCAAUAAGCGGAGGA